GAUGAACGCUGGCGGCGUGCCUAAUACAUGCAAGUCGAACGAAACUUCUUUAUCACCGAGUGCUUGCACUCACCGAUAAAGAGUUGAGUGGCGAACGGGUGAGUAACACGUGGGCAGCCUGCCCAAAAGAGGGGGAUAACACUUGGAAACAGGUGCUAAUACCGCAUAACCAUAGUUACCGCAUGGUAACUAUGUAAAAGGUGGCUAUACUACCGCUUUUGGAUGGGCCCGCGGCGCAUUAGCUAGUUGGUAGGGUAAAGGCUUACCAAGGCAAUGAUGCGUAGCCGAAUUGAGAGGUUGAUCGGCCACAUUGGGACUGAGACACGGCCCAAACUCCUACGGGAGGCAGCAGUAGGGAAUCCUCCACAAUGGGCGAAAGCCUGAUGGAGCAACGCCGCGUGGGUGAAGAAGGUCUUCGGAUCGUAAAACCCUGUUGUUAGAGAAGAAAGUGCGUGAGAGUAACUGUUCACGUUUCGACGGUAUCUAACCAGAAAGCCACGGCUAACUACGUG
rnacentral:rRNA from 1 species